rnacentral:lncRNA from 1 species
CUGUAAUUAAACCAAAGUCAAUUGAAAAAUUAGAAGGUCUAAUGUGUGACUGGUUUUAGCUUGACUGUUGCCUGUUGGACGGUGUCAGGCAGCAGCAGGAAGACUUGGACUGGAGACGUGGCCUCUGUGAGGGUUGGGCUACAGCCUGAAUGGCAGCCACUCCUGCUCUCCAGAAAGGGAAAAGACAUUCAUAGCACGAGCGAGACAACACCAUUCCUUCCUUAUAGCAGACCUAAAGCGUCUCGAUUGUCCUUCGUCAGUCCAAGGCUGGAGAGAGAGA